UACGAAGGGGGCUAGCGUUGCUCGGAAUUACUGGGCGUAAAGGGCGCGUAGGCGGAUAUCUAAGUUGGGGGUGAAAUCCCGGGGCUCAACCUCGGAAUUGCCUUCAAAACUGGAUAUCUUGAGUUCGGGAGAGGUGAGUGGAACUCCGAGUGUAGAGGUGAAAUUCGUAGAUAUUCGGGAGAACACCAGUGGCGAAGGCGACUCACUGGCCCGAUACUGACGCUGAGGCGCGAAAGCGUGGGGAGCAAACAGG
rnacentral:rRNA from 1 species